rfam:HIV-1 isolate 97CIRMF37 from Gabon gag protein (gag) gene, partial cds.
UUUUUUAGGGAAAAUUUGGCCUCCCAGCAAGGGGAGGCCAGGGAAUUUUCUC